rnacentral:lncRNA from 1 species
UUAAUAUUAUUUCAUCGAUGUAUGACUAUUUAAUUGAUUGGCUACAACGUUGUGCCAGAGAAUUAUUAUCUAGUUUCGGAAAAUAUAUUGAUAGGUGUUAGAGAUAGGUAUCAUCAACAUUACAAAUGUUGAUAACUCUGAAGAAAACAAAGGAGGGGAUACAACAUUGGCGGGGGAAACUUGCCUGUAUUAAAAGGAGCUCCUGCAUAUUGUUUCAUCAGUCGCUCUGUAAAGACAAGGUACGGCAGUAGCUUCCACAUACAGUAAAACCAAAGUGUACAGUGUCGAAGUGAACGCUAAAUAAGCAAAUUAUUACAUGCCUGUUCAACAUGAGGAUGACCUCGCGUGGGAACAAAAGUACGACGAGUGCAUCGAGGCUCCACCAUGCAAGAGAAAACGUGAGAACAUUCCUGAGUCACGUCAUGCUACUCGUAUCCUGGUCGCAGAUACGUUUUGACUAAACCUCACAUAAGUAUUUGGAGAUUGGAAUCAGUGUACAAUCUGUGGAAAUAGUCCUCGGUAAUAAUCGCGGUAAUCAACUAAUAUUACAUACAGAAACUUGGAGAAAACGGAUGGGAAAUCAUGUUGUUAUAUAAUGACUUCUGGAAACGAACAAGCCAUCGUACUUUCCGCCACGGAUUCGAGAUUUAAUAGUGGAAUUGUGUAAGAUAAAUGAUUCAAAAAUUGUAAAAUUAACGCUGUCUCCUAAGUGUUUGUAUUUGAAACCUGCUAUCACGAACAUGUCAUUUACUUAUGAACAUUGUAUUAAUCAUAUGUAUAUGUGGUUGUCCGAAAAUACGCAUCUCGUUAGUUCAAAAUUUCAAACUUUUGUAAAUAUUCUUCGAGAGAAAAAUAUUACCGAAAUGUGUUAUGUGAUAAAAGCGAUACGUGAAAGCGCCGGCUUCGACUGUGAGUCACUUGUUGAUUGUAAGCUGUUGGCAUGCGCUUUGAAAAAUAUCAUGUAUUACGAAGUUGUGAACAAAUAAGAUGUUUAUUCUGAGAAAUAAA